UGUAUACUCCCUCCGUCCAAAAAUACUUGUCGGAACAAUGGAUAAAAAUAGAUGUAUCUAGAACUAAAAUACAUCUAGAUACAUUCAUUUCUCCGACAAGUAUUUCCGGACGGAGGGAGUAUUAA
rfam:Triticum aestivum genome assembly, contig: Triticum_aestivum_CS42_TGACv1_scaffold_528207_6DL